UACGGAGGGUGCAAGCGUUAAUCGGAAUUACUGGGCGUAAAGCGUGCGUAGGUGGCUCGUUAAGUCAGAUGUGAAAGCCCCGGGCUUAACCUGGGAACGGCAUUUGAAACUGGCGAGCUAGAGUUGAGUAGAGGGGAGUGGAAUUUCAGGUGUAGCGGUGAAAUGCGUAGAGAUCUGAAGGAACACCAGUGGCGAAGGCGGCUCCCUGGACUCAAACUGACGCUGAGGUACGAAAGCGUGGGUAGCAAACAGG
rnacentral:rRNA from 2 species